rnacentral:misc_RNA from 1 species
UACAGAGGGUGCGAGCGUUAUUCGGAAUCACUGGGCUUAAAGAGUCCGUAGGCGGCAUGUUAGGUGAGGUGUGAAAUCCCCCGGCUCAACCGAGGAAUCGCGCUUCAAACCGGCGUGCUUGAGGAAGAUAGAGGUGGGCGGAACUGAUGGUGGAGCGGUGAAAUGCGUUGAUAUCAUCAGGAACACCGGAGGCGAAGGCGGCCCACUGGGUCUUAUCUGACGCUGAGGGACGAAAGCUAGGGGAGCGAACGGG